GAAAAAUUCCUACAUAGGUGGGUGUUAAAAUGUAGCUGUUUGAGCCCACACAGCAAAUUCCAGGAGUUAAGCACAUGUGUGAAGACAGACAGUAUUUCUGGUGACUCUGUCAUGUUUGAGUAGUCAAACUAGAGUAGCAGCUGUUUUGGUGAUUACAGUUUUAUCUUUACAGGAGCAGAAAAGUCUCUCUACAGCAUUGGGAGGACAUCAUUUGACAGAAGCAUUCCUGCAACAGGCCGCCAUCGCUCUGUGGCUGAGAAGGUGAAGCCAGACCUCAUCAAAAGAUCAAACUGCUUCCUGUGGACCCACCAGAGACAAGCUCCACUGUCACCACAGGUCACAGAAGAGCUGACCCUACCCUCCAAUAACCAGCAGCAGAUGAGCCGG